rnacentral:tRNA from 1 species
CAGGGAGACAACAAAAUGUUAAAUAUUAAUUUUGUCACCUUAGGUCGAUCGGUACCUCACAUUCUUCAAUUAUGAAAGAAUUUUAUUUCCUAAGUUUUUUCUAGGUCACACCCAUUUUUCCCUGGGCCAUUAGCUCAGGUGGUUAGAGCGCACCCCUGAUAAGGGUGAGGUCCCUGGUUCAAGUCCAGGAUGGCCCAUAUCUCUAUGUUGGGGGUAUAGCUCAGUUGGUAGAGCGCCUGCUUUGCAAGCAGGAUGUCAGCGGUUCGAGUCCGCUUACCUCCACUGAUUACCACCUCUUCCAUAAUUUAUAGAGGGAAAUUUUUUUGAGGUGUGAUCAAAUCCUGAACGAAUCUAGCUUCCUAAUCUAAAUUAUUAAGAUGCUGGAUUCAUUGAAUUAUUUUCAUUGAUUUCAGAGAACCUUGACAACUGCAUAGAUUUUUUUUAAAGACAAUAAGCAUCUGUAAUGAUGCAGAUUUAUUAUUUGUGCGAAUGCAUUAAUAACAAUUCUAUUAAGCUGAUGCUUCAAUUUUUGAAGUUAUU